rnacentral:rRNA from 1 species
CCUACGGGAGGCAGCAGUGAGGAAUAUUGGUCAAUGGGCGCAAGCCUGAACCAGCCAAGUCGCGUGAGGGAUGACGGUCCUAUGGAUUGUAAACCUCUUUUGUCGGGGAGCAAGGCCCGCCACGUGUGGCGGGAAGGAGAGUACCCGAAGAAAAAGCAUCGGCUAACUCCGUGCCAGCAGCCGCGGUAAUACGGAGGAUGCGAGCGUUAUCCGGAUUUAUUGGGUUUAAGGGGUGCGUAGGCGGACGCUUAAGUCAGCGGUAAAAGUGCGGGGCUCAACCUCGUCGAGCCGUUGAAACUGGGUGCCUUGAGUGGGCGAGAGGUACGCGGAAUGCGUGGUGUAGCAGUGAAAUGCAUAGAUAUCACGCAGAACUCCGAUUGCGAAGGCAGCGUACCGGCGCCCAACUGACGCUGAAGCACGAAGGCGAGGGUAUCGAACAGGAUUAGAUACCCGGGUAGUC